rnacentral:lncRNA from 1 species
GAGAGAUACCUGCUCACCUUUCUGAAAUGAGGAGCUGAAAAGAUAUUUUGAGAUUCAGAAAGGCAUGGAGCUUUCCUGAGAUGGGCUGCUAAGGAGAAAAGAGACAGGAAAAAGUCACCAGACCAUCCUUUAGGCAGUGCAAACAGCGAAACAAUGUUAUUGCUAAUGACAUCGACUUGAUUCUAUAACAUGAGUCCCUUCUCUGGUCUGGAAAAGUGAAGGAUCAGCUGCUCAUAAAAUGUAGAGAUGGUAAAUCUUGGUUGCAAGUAAUGUUGUAUAUAUUAUAAAGAUAGGUUUACUGGCUUACUUUAGGGUUGUGUUU